rnacentral:rRNA from 1 species
GACGAACGCUGGCGGCGUGCUUAACACAUGCCAGUCGAACGGAAAGGCCCUGCUUUUGUGGGGUGCUCGAGUGGCGAACGGGUGAGUAACACGUGAGUAACCUGCCCUUGACUUUGGGAUAACUUCAGGAAACUGGGGCUAAUACCGGCUAGGAGCUCCUGCUGCAUGGUGGGGGUUGGAAAGUUUCGGCGGUUGGGGAUGGACUCGCGGCUUAUCAGCUUGUUGGUGGGGUGGUGGCUUAGCGAGGGUUUGACGGGUGGCCGGCCUGGGUGGGUGACCGGCCACAUUGGGACUGAGAUACGGCGCAGACUCCUACGGGAGGCAGCAGUGGGGAAUAUUGCACAAUGGGCCGAAGCCUGAUGCAGCAGCGCCGCGUGCGGAAUGACGGCCUUCGGGUUGUAAACCGCUUUCGCCUGUGACGAAGCGUGAGUGACGGUAAUGGGUAAAGAAGCACCGGCUAACUACGUG